UCCAAUACACCGUAGCUCAAAGUGGGAUAGCUUCCUCUAUAAAACGCCUAAAAAAACUUUUUGUAAAAUAAAAAUCCAAGAAGUAUUGAUUUCUUUUUGCUUUAUAUGAUUGUACUUGUACCCAACCCCAAUCCAACCUUUGUACAAAAGAUCUUAGACCCUCUCUUGUUUCCUAUUUUAAACUCUCGAACUUCACCAAGUGGGGAACUAUAGAAUCUUGAAUCUGUAUACAUUUUUUAAAGAAUCGUGAAAAGGGUAUUCUACUGCACUGAUCUGUGUCCUUUUUCUUUGUUUCUUUCUGGAAAAAAAUGUGGUUUCUUGAAGCGGGGAUUCAAGCAUAGUAAUCUUUUUGUUCAUGUGUAAAAUUGGAGGUGGGAAUUGUAGAAACUUGUAUCUUGAUGCAACUUUUAAAGAUUAUUGAAAUCGAUAUCUUACCACAUUGAUUUCAUUCACAUUUUUCUUCGCUAUUUUAGAAAAUUUUGUGGGUUCUUAAAGUGGGUAAUCAAGUAUAGAGAACUUGUGAAAAACUAGAAGUGGGUGUUACAGAAUCUUAAAUGUUUAUGCAAGUUUUAUAGAUUCUUGAAAUGGGUAUCCUACAACACUAAUUUGUAUCCCCCUCUUUGUUUUGCUGCUUAAUUUUCAAGUUUUUUGAAGUGGGUAUUCUAGCAAACCUCUCUCUCUACAAGUUAAGUUUUGUGAGGUGGGUAUCCUAGAAAACGACCUUCUCUCUCUAGACUUCAAGUUUCAUGAAGUGGGUAUUCUACCAAAAACAAUCUGUGUCUUAGAUUACAAAUUUCUUGAAGUGGGUAGUGAUCAAGAUUCCUAAAGAAAACCAGAAAAAGUCUUUUGUUUUGGGUUAUUGAUUCAAGAAAUGGGAGUUAUUGAAAGAUUGGUUUGGAUGAACACUUGCUCAAAGAAACAAUGUAGAAGCUUGCUUUGGAGAAUGAGAGCUGCCAUGAAAAAAGCAGUGAAGAAGAAACACACAUUUUUUGUGGCUUUUUAUGGAGGUCCCAAGAGACAAUUCAAUUUUCAAUAUGAUCCUUCAAGCUAUGCUCUCAACUUUGAUGAUGGUACCCAUUACCAUUAUCAUCAUAAUGUGGUGGAGCAUCAUAAAAUUACCGAAGUACCCCUGCCAAAGCAACAACAAGAAUCACAUCCUUCAAGUACUACUACAUCUGCAUGGGUCUAUGUUAUUUGGGUCGGAUCUUUCUAGUGUCUUACUUCUUUAGAGUCAGAAUCUUCAUGCAAUACUUGGGUUAGGUUAAUUCGGGUCGGAUCUUUCUAGUGUUAUUUACAUUUUCUAUGUUUUUUAGUUUUUUUUUCUUAGGCUUAUUAAAGUAGGUUUUGGGUCAUUGGCCCGGCCCGCGUCGACCCGGUUCGGUGUUCUGAGAAAUGGAAAGAGGUAUGAAGUAUGAACUUUUUGCAUGGAUACCUGAUAGAAAUGGAAUUUUAGUUCUUUUCAA